CCUACGGGACGCAGCAGUGGGGAAUAUUGCACAAUGGGCGCAAGCCUGAUGCAGCCAUGCCGCGUGUGUGAAGAAGGCCUUCGGGUUGUAAAGCACUUUCGGCGGGGAGGAAGGCGUUAAGGUUAAUAACCUUAGCGAUUGACGUUACCCGCAGAAGAAGCACCGGCUAACUCCGUGCCAGCAGCCGCGGUAAUACGGAGGGUGCAAGCGUUAAUCGGAAUUACUGGGCGUAAAGCGCACGCAGGCGGUCUGUCAAGUCGGAUGUGAAAUCCCCGGGCUCAACCUGGGAACUGCAUUCGAAACUGGCAGGCUAGAGUCUUGUAGAGGGGGGUAGAAUUCCAGGCGUAGCGGUGAAAUGCGUAGAGAUCUGGAGGAAUACCGGUGGCGAAGGCGGCCCCCUGGACAAAGACUGACGCUCAGGUGCGAGAGCGUGGGGAGAAAACAGGAUUAGAUACCCUUGUAAUC
rnacentral:rRNA from 1 species